AUUGAACGCUGGCGGCAGGCCUAACACAUGCAAGUCGAACGAGUGGCGGACGGGUGGGUAAGGUCUGGGAAACUGCCCGAUGGAGGGGGAUAAGUACUGGAAACGAUAGCUAAUACCGCCUAGCAGAGGAUGGGCCGAGGUGGGAAUUGCGUGUGGGGGGGGUAAAGGCUCACCAAGGCGACGAUCCCUAGCUGGUCUGAGAGGAUGACCAGCCACACUGGAACUGAGACACGGUCCAGACUCCUACGGGAGGCAGCAGUGGGGAAUAUUGCACAAUGGGCGAAAGCCUGAUGCAGCCAUGCCGCGUGUAUGAAGAAGGCCUUCGGGUUGUAAAGUACUUUCAGCGAGGAGGCGUUACCCGCAGAAGAAGCACCGGCUAACUCCGUGCCAGCAGCCGCGGUAAUUC
rnacentral:rRNA from 1 species